CUAAGUGUUCUGUUACAGGUAGACCCAGAUAUUGACACGCAUGCAGACUGCAGUACCUUGUAGGUGUUGAGGUAGAUUACAGUACUUUGUAGGUGUUGAGGUAGAUUACAGUACCUUGUAGGUGUUGAGGUAGAUUACAGUACCUUGUAGGUGUUGAGGUAGAUUAUAGGUGUUGAGGUAGAUUACAGUACCUUGUAGGUGUUGAGGUAGAUUAUAGGUGUUGAGGUAGAUUACAGUACCUUGUAGGUGUUGAGGUAGAUUACAGUACCUUGUAGGUGUUGAGGUAGAUUAUAGGUGUUGAGGUAGAUUACAGCACCUUGUAGGUGUUGAGGUAGAUUAUAGGUGUUGAGGUAGAUUACAGUACCUUGUAGGUGUUGAGGUAGAUUAUAGGUGUCGAGGUAGAUUACAGUACCUUGUAGGCGUUGAGGUAGAUUACAGUACCUUGUAGGCGUUGAGGUAGAUUACAGCACCUUGUAGGCGUUGAGGUAGAUUACAGCACCUUGUAGGCGUUGAGGUAGAUUACAGCACCUUGUAGGCGUUGAGGUAGAUUACAGCACCUUGUAGGCGUUGAGGUAGAUUACAGCACCUUGUAGGCGUUGAGGUAGAUUACAGUACCUUGUAGGCGUUGAGGUAGAUUACAGUACCUUGUAGGCGUUGAGGUAGAUUACAGUACCUUGUAGGCGUUGAGGUAGAUUACAGUACCUUGUAGGCGUUGAGGUAGAUUACAGUACCUUGUAGGUGUUGAGGUAGAUUACAGUACCUUGUAGGUGUUGAGGUAGAUUACAGUACCUUGUAGGUGUUGAGGUAGAUUAUAGGUGUUGAGGUAGAUUAUAGGUGUUGAGGUCGAUUACAGUACCUUGUAGGUGUUGAGGUAGAUUAUAGGUGUUGAGGUAGAUUACAGCACCUUGUAGGUGUUGAGGUAGAUUACAGAACCUUGUAGGUGUUGAGGUAGAUUACAGUACCGUGUAGGCGUCGAGGUAGAUUACAGCACCUUGUAGGUGUUGAGGUAGAUUAUAGGUGUUGAGGUAGAUUAUAGGUGUUGAGGUAGAUUACAGUACCUUGUAGGUGUUGAGGUAGAUUACAGUACCUUGUAGGUGUUGAGGUAGAUUAUAGGUGUUGAGGUAGAUUACAGCACCUUGUAGGUGUUGAGGUAGAUUAUAGGUGUUGAGGUAGAUUACAGUACCUUGUAGGUGUUGAGGUAGAUUAUAGGUGUCGAGGUAGAUUAUAGGACCUUGUCGGCGUUGAGGUAGAUUAUAGGACCUUGUCGGCGUUGAGGUAGAUUACAGUACCUUGUAGGCGUUGAGGUAGAUUACAGCACCUUGUAGGCGUUGAGGUAGAUUGUAGGUGUUGAGGUAGAUUACAGUACCUUGUAGGUGUUGGGGUAGAUUACAGCACCUUGUAGGUGUUGAGGUAGAUUGUAGGUGUUGAGGUAGAUUACAGUACCUUGUAGGCGUUGAGGUAGAUUACAGCACCUUGUAGGUGUUGAGGUAGAUUGUAGGUGUUGAGGUAGAUUAUAGGUGUUGAGGUAGAUUAUAGGUGUUGAGGUAGAUUAUAGGUGUUGAGGUAGAUUACAGUACCUUGUAGGUGUUGAGGUAGAUUAUAGGUGUCGAGGUAGAUUAUAGGACCUUGUAGGCAUUGAGGUAGAUUACCGUACCUUGUAGGUGUUGAGGUAGAUUACAGUACCUUGUAGGCGUUGAGGUAGAUUACAGCACCUUGUAGGUGUUGAGGUAGAUUGUAGGUGUUGAGGUAGAUUAUAGGUGUUGAGGUAGAUUAUAGGUGUUGAGGUAGAUUACAGUACCUUGUAGGUGUUGAGGUAGAUUAUAGGUGUCGAGGUAGAUUACAGGACCUUGUAGGCG